ACACUUACCUGGCAGGGGAGCUACCAUGAUCACGAAGGUGGUUUUCCCAGGACAAGGCUUAUCCAUUGCACUCUGGAUGUGCUGACCCCUGCGAUUUCCCCAAAUGUGGGAAACUCGACUGCAUAAUUUGUGGUAGUAGGGGACUGUGUUCACACUUUCCCCUG
rnacentral:snRNA from 1 species